rnacentral:rRNA from 1 species
UACGUAGGGGGCAAGCGUUAUCCGGAUUUACUGGGUGUAAAGGGAGCGUAGACGGAACGGCAAGUUUGAAGUGAAAUACCCGGGCUUAACUCGGGAACUGCUUUGAAAACUGUCGAUCUAGAGUGUCGGAGAGGUAAGUGGAAUUCCUGGUGUAGUAGUGAAAUGCGUAGAUAUCAGGAAGAACACCGGAGGCGAAGGCGGCUUACUGGACGAUAACUGACGUUGAGGCUCGAAAGCGUGGGGAGCAAACAGG